UCCAGACUCCUACGGGAGGCAGCAGUGGGGGAUAUUGCACAAUGGGGGAAACCCUGAUGCAGCGACGCCGCGUGAGUGAAGAAGUAUUUCGGUAUGUAAAGCUCUAUCAGCAGGGAAGAAAAAAGACGGUACCUGACUAAGAAGCCCCGGCUAACUACGUGCCAGCAGCCGCGGUAAUACGUAGGGGGCAAGCGUUAUCCGGAUUUACUGGGUGUAAAGGGAGCGUAGACGGCAAUACAAGUCGGAAGUGAAAUACCCGGGCUCAACCUGGGAACUGCUUUGGAAACUGUAUGGCUGGAGUGCUGGAGAGGUAAGCGGAAUUCCUAGUGUAGCGGUGAAAUGCGUAGAUAUUAGGAGGAACACCAGUGGCGAAGGCGGCUUACUGGACAGUAACUGACGUUGAGGCUCGAAAGCGUGGGGAGCAAACAGGAUUAGAUACCCCUGUAUAA
rnacentral:rRNA from 1 species